UGAGCAGCGAAAGAGGGUGAGCAUUCACCUGAAUACCAGUUUCGAGGAAGGCUCUGUCCGCUCAGGUUGUCGGGCAAGCCGAGGCUGAAAGGCGUAGGCGAUGACAACAGGGUUGAUAUUCUUCACUGCACCUCAUUUGAGCAACGGGGACGCAGGAGGAUGGGGUAAGCACCGUGGAUAUCCGCGUCCAAGCAGUUAGGCUGGAAAUAGCAAUCCGUUUCCCAUAAGGCUGAGCUGUGAUGGCGAGCGAAAUAUAGUACGAAGUUCCUGAUUCCACACUGCCGCAGAAAGCCUAGCGGUGAGGUGCCCGUACCGCAAACCGACACAGGUAGGCGAGGAGAGAGAAUCCGGUGAUCGAGAGAACUCUGUUAUGAACUCGGCAAAAUGACCCCCAACUUGAGAAGGGUGUUUGCCAAAGCAAGCCCGAGAGAGCCGCAGUGAAUAGGCCAGGCGACUGUUUUCAAAACACAGGUCUCUGCGAAGCCGUGGCGAAGUAUAGGGGCUGACGCCUGCCCGGUGCUGGAAGGUUAAGAGGAGCCUUAGCGUAGCGAAGGUGCGAAUGACCAAUAAACGGCGGCCGUAACUAUAACGGUCCUAAGGUAGCGAAAUUCCUUGUCGGUAAGUUCCGACCCGCACGAAAAGCGCAACGAUCUGGGCACUCUCAACGAGAGACUCGGUGAAAUUAUAGUACCUGUGAAGAUGCAGGUUACCCGCGACAGGACGAAAGACCCGUGGAGCUUUACUGCAGCCUGAUAUUGAAUGUUGGUACAACGCUGAGGUAGGAGCCAGACCGGAGCGCAGCUUCGGUGGAGGACAUCGGUGGGACCUGGCUGUAUUGACCUUUAACCCGCCGCCCUUAUCGGGCGGGGAGACAGUGUCAGGUGGGCAGUUUGACUGGGGCGGUCGCCUCAAGGUAACGGAGGCGCCCAAAGGUUCCUCAGAAUGGUUGGUCCGCAGGUGUAAAGGCACAAGGGAGCUUGACUGCGAGACCACAAGUCGAGCAGGGACGAAAGAUCGGGCUUAGUGAUCCGGUGGUUCCGCAUGGAAGGCAUCGCUCAACGGAUAAAAGCCCGAGGAUAAACAUCUCCCCAAGAUCGUCAACGGGAGGUUUGGCACCUCGAUGUCGGCUCAUCGCAUCCUGGGGCUGUGCGGUCCCAAAGGUUGGGCUGUUCGCCCAUUAAAGCGGUACGCGAGCUGGGUUCAGAACGUCGUGAGACAGUUCGGUCCUAUCCGUCGCAGGCGCAGGAAAUUUGAGAGAGCUGUCCAGUACAGAGGACCGGGAUGGACGCACCGCUGUGUACCAGUUGUUCUGCAGGGCAUCGCUGGGUAGCUAUGUGCGGACGGGAUAAGUGCGGCAUCUAAGCAUGAAGCCCCUCAAGAUGAGAUUUCCAUUCCUGCUGAAAUAUACAGAUCCUGAAAGAUAGUCAGGGUGUCCGGUCGAGGUGAAGUGUGCGGCGGCCGCGCAUUGUGGAAUACUGAU
rnacentral:rRNA from 1 species